AUUGAACGCUGGCGGCAGGCCUAACACAUGCAAGUCGAGCGGACGAAGGGAGCUCGCUCCCGGCUUCAGCGGCGGACGGGCGAGUAAGGCCUAGGAAUCUGCCUUGUAGUGGGGGCUAAGGUCCGGUAACGGGCGCUAAUCCCGCAUACGUCCAGAGGUAGAACGUGGGGGAUCUUUGGACCUCGCGCUAUCUGCUGAGCCUAAGUCGUAUUAGCUAGUUGGUGGGGUAAAGGCCUACCAAGGCGACGAUCCGUAGCUGCUCUGAGAGGAUGAUCAGACACACUGGAACUGAGACACGGUCCAGACUCCUACGGGAGGCAGCAGUAGGGAAUAUUGGACAAUGGGCGAAAGCCUGAUGCAGCCAUGCCGCGUGAGUGAAGAAGGUCUUCGGAUCGUAAAGCUCUUUUAGUUGGGAGGAACAACAGUAUGUGUAACCCUGGCUGUCUUGACGGUACCUACAGAGAAAGCACCGGCUAACUACGUG
rnacentral:rRNA from 1 species